rnacentral:rRNA from 1 species
AGUGAACGCUGGCGGUAGGCCUAACACAUGCAAGUUGAACGGCAGCACAGUAAGAGCUUGCCCUUACGGGUGGCGAGUGGCGGACGGGUGAGGAAUACAUCGGAAUCUACUUUUUCGUGGGGGAUAACGUAGGGAAACUUACGCUAAUACCGCAUACGACCUACGGGUGAAAGCAGGGGAUCUUCGGACCUUGCGCGAUUGAAUGAGCCGAUGUCGGAUUAGCUAGUUGGCGGGGUAAAGGCCCACCAAGGCGACGAUCCGUAGCUGGUCUGAGAGGAUGAUCAGCCACACUGGAACUGAGACACGGUCCAGACUCCUACGGGAGGCAGCAGUGGGGAAUAUUGGACAAUGGGCGCAAGCCUGAUCCAGCCAUACCGCGUGGGUGAAGAAGGCCUUCGGGUUGUAAAGCCCUUUUGUUGGGAAAGAAAAGCAGCAGGUUAAUACCCCGCUGUUCUGACGGUACCCAAAGAAUAAGCACCGGCUAACUUCGUG